rnacentral:rRNA from 1 species
UGGGGAAUUUUGGACAAUGGGGGAAACCCUGAUCCAGCCAUCCCGCGUGUGCGAUGAAGGCCUUCGGGUUGUAAAGCACUUUUGGCAGGAAAGAAACGUCAUGGGUUAAUACCCCGUGAAACUGACGGUACCUGCAGAAUAAGCACCGGCUAACUACGUGCCAGCAGCCGCGGUAAUACGUAGGGUGCAAGCGUUAAUCGGAAUUACUGGGCGUAAAGCGUGCGCAGGCGGUUCGGAAAGAAAGAUGUGAAAUCCCAGAGCUCAACUUUGGAACUGCAUUUUUAACUACCGGGCUAGAGUGUGUCAGAGGGAGGUGGAAUUCCGCGUGUAGCAGUGAAAUGCGUAGAUAUGCGGAGGAACACCGAUGGCGAAGGCAGCCUCCUGGGAUAACACUGACGCUCAUGCACGAAAGCGUGAGGAGCAAACAGG